ACGCUGGCGGCGUGCUUAACACAUGCAAGUCCGACGUGAAAGGGGAGCAAUCCCCCGGUAGGGUGGCGAACGGGUGAGUAAGACAUGGGAAUCUGUCCCGGAGAUGGGGAUAUCCUUCCGAAAGGAGGGUUAAUACCGAAUACCGUCCGGUGGGCGAGAGUCCAUCGGGGAAAGGGAGGCCUCUGGCAACAAGCUUCCGCUCCGGGAGGAGCCCAUGGCCCAUCAGCUAGUUGGGAGGGUAACGGCCUACCAAGGCGAAGACGGGUAGCUGGUCUGAGAGGACGAUCAGCCACACUGGCACUGAGACACGGGCCAGACUCCUACGGGAGGCAGCAGUGAGGAAUUUUGCGCAAUGGGGGCAACCCUGACGCAGCAACGCCGCGUGUGGGAAGGAGGCUUUCGGGUUGUAAACCACUUUUGUAAGGGACGAAGUCCUUUCGGCAAAUAACCGAGGGGGAUGACGGUACCUUGCGAAUAAGCCACGGCUAACUCUGUGCCAGCAGCCGCGGUAAGAC
rnacentral:rRNA from 1 species